rnacentral:lncRNA from 1 species
UCAGUGUUCAGCUUUAGCCAUGUAAUUGUGAUAAGAAUAUGAUUUGUCAUGUUGAACGCCAUGACCAAGGGAAUGUGUCAAUGUCUUCCUUGAAUGACAUAGGUUCCAAAAUCAUUUUUCAUGAUUUGAUUUUCAAGUUCCUCUGAAGACACUGUGAUUAUCCUACCCAUGGGAGUGAGUAAAGUCCAUAGAGGGUUAUGAGGUAAGUGCUGAGGUACCCUAAACCAGAUCUUCAUCUAUAGAGGAAAGGGAUGAGGGUGUCCUGACUAUUACUAGAUUUAGUGGUCACUGCUCCUAUAAGAAAUAAUUUUGUCCUUCACAGUUCUAGUAAAUAUGAGUUUAUCCUUUAUAUGCCAUAGGGAAAAUUGGUGUUUUAGCAAGGACUGCUGAGGGAGUGAUUAUGAACUGGUUAAUUGAAAUUAUUGUGGAACUCUAGGACUGCAGUAAGCAUAGGUUAAUUUCCAGGGUGUGGAGAUGACAAAAUAUGGGCUCUCUGACAAUACUGUUUUUGUUUGGUGAAUCCAAGUAUCCUGAGGAGUUUAGCUGUCCUUUAGCAAUGGACAUUAAAAAGGGAGUGGGCUCAUGUUCUGACACAGCACCUUCUAUGCCAAACUGGCUUUGUAUUUUUUUCAGAUGCCCUUCAAGAGAACACAGUGAUCCAGAAAAGAUGGUUGUUGCAGUCACCCUAGUAACAAGUGAUGGGUCCAGACCUCACAGCCAGGAAAGGCCAGACCCUGGAACCUCACCAGGAUCCAGAUAGCAGCAAGUAUGGCCUCCAUCACAGCACAGGAAAUGGAUCUUCCUAGGCUUCAGUGGAGCAUGUUGGGGCCCUGAGUGUAGCCGAUACCAUAUUUUGUGUGAAUAAAUUCAAGUAUAAAAGACUAACAAAUCAGAAAUCUAGUCUGUGUGAGUUUUCUUUUUGUAUAGGGUAGGGAAAGUACUGUUCAAGGUCCCUGUGUCCUGGGAUUGCUUGCUUACUAUAUGCAGUGACAUGCUUGAGUACCAGACUGCUGAGAAAGAAGCACAGGUAACUUGCAGGCACCCACUUGAUGAGGAUCAGAGCCUUGGGAUGAUAUUCUUCCCUCAGUUUCAAUCUGGUAUGCGGUGGAGUGGAAGCCUCCCACACCAGUGGUGGUUGUCAAUGAAUCGAGCAUGUUGUAUGCUUGCAGAACAUGCUGUAUCCUUUUAGCAUGGUCUUGUUCCUUUUCCCUUCAUGGAUACAGAGUGAUCAAGAAGUUGGUUGAUGUACACUUAUGGAAGGCCAGGGAAAUACCACCAUGGGUACAAGCUGAUCACUAGGCCAGAUGUCUGUAUCCAGGUCAGAAGGAGCCUCUGGCUAACCUGGUAUUAACAUGUUUCAUCACCAGGUAUCCUGCCAAAAGGUCUUGGGAGAUGCUGCUACCCUCAGCCAUGCAACACCUUCUUCUUUACUGAUGUACAUUGUGGGAGGGCACUUGGGCACACUUUGCUUUUCCCCACUGAUUCACCUGUGUGCCAGUGAAGGUGAAAUCUUCCCAGUGGCUGCUGGGACAGUCAUGUCACAGUGAGCAGCACAGUAUAAUCAGGUGGAUGCAUACAGACAUCCAGGUUCCUUCAAGGGAAGAUGAGCAGACUAUGGCUGGAACUGCAUGCAGGUGUCAGAUUGGCUAUUGAUGGUGAACCUCUGAUUCUGCCCUCUUCAUCGACAAGUGUGGUGCUCUGUGCCUUCUUGCUGUCACGAGGAAGCAUCAGAUGCUAUUGGUUCCCUUCCAGGAGAGAUGAUGUGUAUUUCACACUUGUCCCACUAGGGGAGUAAGCAGGGCAUGAGGUCACUGUGACAGAGUGGGUCCCUGAGAUGGGGAUUGGAGUGAAUUGGGAGGUAUCUCCUCAAAGGCAUCCAUUACCAUUGCAUGGCUAGUUUGUUGACAAGAAGGAGGGAGGAGCGUGGUGGUGGUGAUGGAACCUGAAUGAUAGGAUGACAUGGGAGUUGUACAGGUAGACACGGAGGAGACCACAAAGGGUAGAAUCUCUUGUGCUUCUUUUCCAGUGAGGGAGUCCACAGCUCAUGGUGAGCCCUGAACAUCACCAGGAUCUGUAUAAGGACAGCCAUGGACCUUCACUGCAGCAUAGGCAGGGAAUAUCCAUGGCCUUCACUAAGUGAUAUUGGGGUCCCUGAUGUGGAGUCGUGGGGUAGUGGGGUUGCUGUGACUUUGCUUUAGGUUCUGGAGCCCAGGAGAGCAAUGAAGGAAGAACUGAGCCAAUCCACUGACCCUGAAUUUUUCCUUCGUGUAUAGUGAAGUAAAAUGAAUGUUGAUCUUCUCUACAUCCUUGGAGUGCUUAUUCUUUGGUCCAGUGGUGUUGUGAUGGACCACCCUGCCCAGGAGAAAGCACAGAAUUCUUUGCAGGUCAGUAGUUGAUGAUAAUGAGUCUCAGGAUGAGAGUUUUGCACUCAAAUUGCUUCUGGUAUCAGAGUGAAGAGAAAGCCUUUGUGCCAGUGGUGAUGCCAGAGCACAGCCCAGUGUUCUUGCAGAGCAAAGGAUAAGGUUUUAGCAGGGUGUGGUUUGCCUUCCUUUCAGAUAUCUGCAGUGAUGAAAAAAUGUUUGUUGUGGUGAGAUUGCUGAUGAUAGAUGAGACCUCUGUGCAUGUAGCCUGGCUACAGGGCAUGAUAUUCCUUAGAAAGGUAAAAAAUGAGCCUCUACAUAACCUGGCCAUGUGAUGUUUUUUCACCAUGAAUGCUGCUA